AUACUAUGCUGCCUAGAAAAGCCCAGCAGCGAGUUGACAUGGUGCCCGUACCCCAAACCAACACAGGUGGACAGGUAGAGCAUACCAAGGCGAGUGGGAUAACUAUGGUUAAGGAACUCGGCAAAUUGCCUCCGUAACUUCGGGAGAAGGAGGACCCCAGUAGCGUGAUGAGACUUGCUCUCUGAGCGUGAAGGGGUGGCACAAAAUUGAGGGAAGCGACUGUUUACCAAAAACACAGCAGCGUGCUAAGCCGUAAGGCGCUGUAUACGCUGUGACUCCUGCCCGGUGCUGGAAGGUUACGGGGAUGGGUUAGUCCUUCGGGACGAAGCUCUGAACCUAAGCCCCAGUAAACGGCGGCCGUAACUAUAACGGUCCUAAGGUAGCGAAAUUCCUUGUCGGGUAAGUUCCGACCUGCACGAAUGGAGUAACGACUUCCCUACUGUCUCAACCAUAGACCCAGCGAAAUUGAAGUACGAGUAAAGAUGCUCGUUAGCUGCAGAAGGACGGAAAGACCCCGUGGACCUUUACUAUAACUUGAUGUUGUGUUUUGUCAUAUGUUGUGUAGGAUAGGUGGGAGACUUGGAAGCAUGGACGCUAGUCUGUGUGGAGUCAUCGUUGAAAUACCACCCUGCAUAUGGUGAGGCUCUAACCUAGACCCGUUAUCCGGGUUGGGGACAGCGUCAGGCGGGUAGUUUAACUGGGGCGGUUGCCUCCUAAAGAGUAACGGAGGCGCCCAAAGGUUCCCUCAGCCUGGUUGGCAAUCAGGCGUUGAGUGCAAUGGCAAAAGGGAGCUUGACUGCGAGACCUACAAGUCGAGCAGGAGCGAAAGCUGGGCAUAGUGAUCCGGCGGUUGCGUGUGGAAGCGCCGUCGCUCAACGGAUAAAAGGUACCCCGGGGAUAACAGGCUAAUCUUGCCCAAGCGUCCAUAGCGACGGCAAGGUUUGGCACCUCGAUGUCGGCUCAUCGCAUCCUGGGGCUGAAGCAGGUCCCAAGGGUUGGGCUGUUCGCCCAUUAAAGCGGUACGCGAGCUGGGUUCAGAACGUCGUGAGACAGUUCGGUCCCUAUCCUCUGCAGCCGGAGGUGAAUUGAGGAAAGCUGUCCCUAGUACGAGAGGACCGGGACGGACGCAGCUCUCGUGUGCCAGUUGUCCUGCCAAGGGCAUGGCUGGUUAGCGACCUGCGGAAAAUAUAACCGCUGAAAGCAUCUAAGCGGGAAGCCUCUUCCAAGAUGAAUUCACCCACAGGGUUAACCUGGUAAGGCCCGUGGUAGACCACCACGUUGAUAGGCCGGAAGUGUAAGCGUGGCAACACGUUCAGCUGACCGGUACUAAUCGGCC
rnacentral:rRNA from 1 species